rnacentral:tRNA from 1 species
GAGAAAUUAGUUUAGGUAGAAUAAAAGAUUGCAAGUCUUUAGGGGCUUGUUGGGGCAUUUUUCU